rnacentral:rRNA from 1 species
UACGAAGGGGGCUAGCGUUGCUCGGAAUCACUGGGCGUAAAGGCGCGUAGGCGGCCAUUCAAGUCGGGGGUGAAAGCCUGUGGCUCAACCACAGAAUUGCCUUCGAUACUGUUUGGCUUGAGUAUGGUAGAGGUUGGUGGAACUGCGAGUGUAGAGGUGAAAUUCGUAGAUAUUCGCAAGAACACCGGUGGCGAAGGCGGCCAACUGGACCAUUACUGACGCUAAGGCGCGAAAGCGUGGGGAGCGAACAGG